rnacentral:rRNA from 1 species
GGACUACCGGGGUUUCUAAUCCUGUUUGCUCCCCUAGCUUUCGUGCAUCAGCGUCAGUUAUGGUCCAGUGAGCCGCUUUCGCCACAGGUGUUCCUUCCGAUAUCUACGCAUUUCACCGCUACACCGGAAAUUCCACUCACCUCUCCCAUACUCAAGCCCGGCAGUUUCUUGUGCAGGCUUCGGGUUGAGCCCGAAGAUUUCACACAAGACUUGCCAAACCGCCUACGCACCCUUUACGCCCAAUAAAUCCGAACAACGCUUGCCCCCCUCGUAUUACCGCGGCUGCUGGCAC